UUUCUCGUAAAUUGGAUUUGAUUAGCUAAUUAAGGAAAAGAUUUUGUGAUAAAAAAUUUUAUGGAAACUUUGAUCGGAACUGAUUUUUGCUACUUUGAUUGAUUCAACCCUUUCAUUAAGGAAAGAUUCUCCCUUAAUUGAUUUAUCAAAUAUUCUCCUUCCUUUAUUUUCAUAACCCAUCCACCUAUAUAAAUAAUUCCUCUUUUCAAUUAGCAAACAACUCUUCCUGAUUACUACUAUCUAAAAAAAAAUACUAGCUACUUUAAUACCAAGGAUAAAAUAUUUCUCAAGCUCUUUGGUGUUUCUUUUCGGGUUUAAGAGAGCAUCCUACAUAUC
rnacentral:lncRNA from 1 species